GACGAGCCACACAAACGUUAUUCGGAAUUACUGGGCUUAAAGGGUGCGUAGGCGGUGCGGAAAGUUGGGUGUGAAAUCCCUCGGCUCAACCGAGGAAUUGCGCUCAAAACUACCGUGCUCGAGGGAGAUAGAGGAAUGCGGAACUUAGGGUGGAGCGGUGAAAUGCGUUGAUAUCCUAGGGAACACCGGUGGCGAAAGCGGCAUUCUGGAUCUCAUCUGACGCUGAUGCACGAAAGCUAGGGUAGCAAACGGG
rnacentral:rRNA from 1 species